UAGCUUCUAAGUAGCAAGGAAGUAGGAAUAAAAUGUCCAGUGUCUUGGGAUAUUCUUAAAACCGUCAGCAGUUACGUAUACAGAUGCAAUUUUAGUCUGUCCAUAUUUGUUACUGAAAAUCUUUAAAAGUUGUUACUUGAACUUUAACUGCUUGCUAUACUCUGUAUUAUAGAUGUCUAUCCUUGAUUUGCUAGCUCUCAA
rnacentral:lncRNA from 1 species